GAAGACAGCUCGACCAUGGUGGAGGAGACAGGCAUUUAGAAUGAGCAAGAAAUAAAGGUGGCCGUUAAGGGGUCAGCUCCCCUCAACAAAGUCACUUUUGAUUUACUUACAAAAGUUUUCUUAAGAUUUCUUCAGAACCCAGGUCAGAAGGCUGGGGCAGGAGGCCAGGCAGAUCACAGCGUCCAUGCCUAGAUGCUCCCUGACCCCCAGGAGCCAGAAGUGCUGUCUCCUGAAGGCUCUGGAAACCCGGGAUCAGCCUACGAGGCACCAGGGCCGCCAUGGAGGGUGGAAAUGAGGACCUCAGGCCCCAGAGGGCAUGCAGGCGAGGUGAAGUUCAGGAGAGGGGAAAGAACAUGGGCUGUGUGGCCUUGGGUCAAUUGCUUGCCCUCUCUGGGCCUUCUUAUUGGUGACAGACUGGUGACUUUCUGAGAGGAUCUAUGCAACCUUAGGCUCCUGCACCUGGGUUACAGGGUCUUCUGGAGGGGAAGAGAUGAGCAGCAGGGACAAUAGCAGUGCUCCUCUCCCGGGUCAGUUGCAAGGAUUAAGGGUGAUGUCUGCAAAGUGCUUAGUCAGAGCCAGCAUAC